GAUGAACGCUAGCUACAGGCUUAACACAUGCAAGUCGAGGGGCAGCAUGAACUUAGCUUGCUAAGUUUGAUGGCGACCGGCGCACGGGUGAGUAACACGUAUCCAACCUGCCGAUGACUCGGGGAUAGCCUUUCGAAAGAAAGAUUAAUACCCGAUGGCAUAGUUCUUCCGCAUGGUAGAACUAUUAAAGAAUUUCGGUCAUCGAUGGGGAUGCGUUCCAUUAGGUUGUUGGCGGGGUAACGGCCCACCAAGCCUUCGAUGGAUAGGGGUUCUGAGAGGAAGGUCCCCCACAUUGGAACUGAGACACGGUCCAAACUCCUACGGGAGGCAGCAGUGAGGAAUAUUGGUCAAUGGACGAGAGUCUGAACCAGCCAAGUAGCGUGAAGGAUGACUGCCCUAUGGGUUGUAAACUUCUUUUAUACGGGAAUAAAGUGAGGCACGUGUGCCUUUUUGUAUGUACCGUAUGAAUAAGGAUCGGCUAAACUCCGUGCCAGCAGCCGCGGUAAU
rnacentral:rRNA from 1 species